GGGAGCUUGCUCCUUGAUUCAGCGGCGGACGGGUGAGUAAUGCCUAGGAAUCUGCCUGGUAGUGGGGGACAACGUUUCGAAAGGAACGCUAAUACCGCAUACGUCCUACGGGAGAAAGCAGGGGACCUUCGGGCCUUGCGCUAUCAGAUGAGCCUAGGUCGGAUUAGCUAGUUGGUGAGGUAAUGGCUCACCAAGGCGACGAUCCGUAACUGGUCUGAGAGGAUGAUCAGUCACACUGGAACUGAGACACGGUCCAGACUCCUACGGGAGGCAGCAGUGGGGAAUAUUGGACAAUGGGCGAAAGCCUGAUCCAGCCAUGCCGCGUGUGUGAAGAAGGUCUUCGGAUUGUAAAGCACUUUAAGUUGGGAGGAAGGGCAGUAAGCUAAUACCUUGCUGUUUUGACGUUACCGACAGAAUAAGCACCGGCUAACUCUGUGCCAGCAGCCGCGGUAAUACAGAGGGUGCAAGCGUUAAUCGGAAUUACUGGGCGUAAAGCGCGCGUAGGUGGUUCGUUAAGUUGGAUGUGAAAGCCCCGGGCUCAACCUGGGAACUGCAUCCAAAACUGGCGAGCUAGAGUACGGUAGAGGGUGGUGGAAUUUCCUGUGUAGCGGUGAAAUGCGUA
rnacentral:rRNA from 1 species